rnacentral:lncRNA from 1 species
GCUGGGCAUGGUGGCGCAUGCCUGUAAUCCCAGCUACUUGGGAGGCUGAGGCAGGAGAAUUACUUGAACCCAGGAGGCAGACGUUGCACUGAGCAGAGAUGGCGCCACUGCACUCCAGCCUGGGCGAUAGAGUGAGACUCCGUCUCAUAAAUAAAUAAGUAGAUCUUUCCCCUGGCAGGCCCUCCCAAUCCUGAAGAGAUUAACUGAGGAUCCAAUACUUGCUCUGUCACCCAGGCUGGAGUACAGUGGCGUGGCAUGUGAUCUCAGCUCACUGCAACCUCUGCCUCCUGGGUUCAAGGGAUUCUCCUGC